CUCCCACUCAGCACCCCCCACCGCCCCGGGGGGAAAAGGUCCACUUACUGCUCAGGUCCACGGUCCUGCUCACAGCGCCCAUCCCAGGGGCAGGCAGAGGAGUCAGGGACUGCUGUGCGCCACCCGCCCCUCUCCUCCGCCAGGGCUAGCAGGGGCACCCCAGGGUGGGGGCUGUGCUGUCCCAGCCGGCCAGGGGCCCCACCUCGCAAUGGGUGGGCUUCAGGGAGAAGCGGGAGGGCCACGUCAAAGCCAGGCCGGAAGGUGUCCACCGUGGGGCUGGCCUUGGCCACCAUCGCCUGUCCCAGAUGAAAGGUCUGGGGGCAGAAGGCUGAGUGGAGACUGAGGACCAGAUGGUUCCUGCCCCCAUUCCAUUGCUGGGGCACUGGGCUGCACUCUCCGGUGGGGGCUUCCAGGCUGAGGAGGAGGAGGAGGCAGGCCUCAUCAGGGCUGACGGAGCGGGAUCGAGAGCUCUCAAUGGAAGCCAGGAUCCCACGUUCAGCGCCUUCAUCGUACAGAUGGGAAGACUGAGGCCCAUUGAGAACAGGCUGCCUGUGUGAGGUCACACCGCAAGUCACCAGCCAGGCACCAGGAGGCCAGGGUCUCUUUUUAACCCAUUCCAAACCAGUCUCCUCGAUGGUCAAUAAUCCUCACCAGCAGGACCCACACCUCACAGAUGCCUCGCGCUAUCACAGCUUCUGAACCCACACAUCAACGCUCCAAGGCAGAGGUUUAGCACUGCCAUUUUUCACAGGAUUAGCCCCACCUCAUCCAGCUGCAGCCUUUUCAGGCCCACUUCUGGCACCUCUCACUCAGGUGUCCAGGUAGGUCUGCCCUUGCCUGGAGCUCUGGAGGGAAGGUCUUGAUGCUCAUCCUCCAGUCCAUAUGGCACCGCUCGGACUCCAAGGAAGAAGUUGCCACAGGGCAGAGACAGAAGCGGGGAGCCAUGUGGGCCCAGGGGAACCACUCCAAGAUAGGAUGGGGAGCCGAGGUAGGGGAGAAGGCCAGGGGUCCAGCUCUGAGGCUAGGAAUUUUGUCUCAUUCACCCUUCUCAUCCCAGCACUAGGGUAAUAAAUGGCCAACAAACUUGUCGAAUGAGUGAAUGAAUGGACCGGUGGACAAAGCUGGGAGGGCUAGGAGACCAAGGCCAGUGGGCCAGGGGCUUGGUAGGGGACUCCUGCUCCCCCAGCUCUGGGCACCCUGGCUGGCUCCUGCCUGCGUCCACACUUGUGUACACGCACAAGCCAACUCCUACCUUCGCCCCUGCAGGGGAGGCCCUCAGACUAGCUGGGCCCUGGGCUUGUCUGGCCUGCGAUUCACAUGGUUGCCCAGCGGCUUGGAUGGAGGAAGAGAAGGCAGGGCAUCCUGGCAGGCAGGACUGAGCUGGGCUCAUUCUAAAAAUACAUCGCCGGGCUCUGCCAAAAGCUCUGGGGGCCUCUGUCGAGCUCUUAGGGCUCAUCAAAGCCACCCGAAGUUCCUGUCCUAUGCCUGGGCUCUGAUCAAUGGCCCGAUAGCCCACAGUUUGGGGACAGGGGGGUGAGACAGGGCAGGAAGGAAAGGACAGCAGGGAGGAGGAGGAGGAGAAGGCUCAGGCUCUGGUUCAGUGAAGGGAGGCUUCUGGGAGAA